CUUUAGCUCAGUUGGCCAGAGCACUCGAUUUGUAAUCCUGGGGUCGUUGGUUCGAAUCCGACAA
rnacentral:tRNA from 1 species